ensembl:lncRNA
AUGUCUCUACUGGAAUUAAUCCUUAUUUUUGUGCUUCACUUUGAAGCAGGCAUCAGUGGAGAACCUAUCUAUCUCUACAAGAGAUCUGGACAUGAUGUUAUUCUGCCCUGUGCCAGUGCAUCACCCUCUGACACAACAUGCUCCAUCGUUACAUGGCUUUACAGCAGAGAUCAAUUUAAGACUUUCACUGAGGUUCAGGAAGGAAAAGUUGAGAAGAACUCAGCCCGAGCUGCCAGGAUGAGUCUGAACACUUCCUGCUCUUUGGCCAUUAACAACAUCACUGCUGAGGAUGCUGGUCAAUACACCUGUCGGCAGGGGAGGAGCAAUAAUCACGAUGCAGUAGUAUACCUUAAGUGUUCUGACAAGUGAGUCUCAUUUGUCCCAUUAAUGCAUGUUACUAAUUUUACUUCUUCCCCGGAGUUCUUGUGCUUUCUCGUCUCGCAGGUUCUCAUGGAUCCUGGUGGAGCCUCCUGCCAUGGUCCUGCUUGACUGCCAUUGCUAAUAUCACUGAUAUUAUUGUUAUUAUUACUAUUAAUAUUAUUAUUACUAGUCACUAUUAUUACUAUGUCACUGCUCAUUGUCCCCCAUCGUUGUUGUCGUCGCCAUCAUCUCAUCAUGUUCAUCAUCAUCAGUCACUACUAUUAGUGUAGUUGUUGCUACUGUUGUUGCUGUGCACCUCUGUCUGUCUGUCUGUCUCUGUCUGUCUGUCUGUCUCUGUCUGUCUGUCUCUGUCUGCCGUCGUGUGUGCUCUCUCUCUCUCUCUCUCUCUCUCUCUCUCUCUCUCUCUCUCUCUCUCUCACCCCAACUGGUCGAGACAGACAGCCACCCACCUAGAGCCGAAGGAUCUGUCCUAGGUUUCUGCCUUUUAAAAGGCAGUUUUUCCUUGCCCUUGUCUCCAAGGUCUUGCUCAUGGUGGUACUGUUGGGUCUCUGUAAAUAAUGUUACAGGGAGUUCGGUCUAGACCUGCUCUAUUUGAAAAGUGUCCUGAGAUAACUUCUGUUAUGAAUUGGCACUAUACAAAUAAAAUUGAAUUGAAUUGAAUUUCCAAGAAAACUUAUAAGAAGAAAACUUAUAUAUAUAUAUAUAAAUAGUAAAAGAGUUGCAAAAAAAAAAAAAAUAUGCUGAGUUAACAGUUAUCACUUGUUUUCUCUCAGUCUCUCCAUCUCCUCCAGACGCUGAUCCAAAGAGGGACGGUGAAGUCACAUUAGAGUGCUCUCUGUCGAGAUACAUUGGACUCAGUCCUUGUAAACAGAACAGCGUCCGCUGGGUGAAUGAGACAGGAACUGUGCUGCUUGAUGAAGGUGUCGGGUACAAGUUCCUCGGACAGAAGAACUGUGUCUCUGUUCUGAAAGUGAAGCGUCAGAGUGGCCACAACAGGAGAUACACCUGCCAGUUUGUUGAUGAGAACAAUGUAAAGAUAGAGGCUGACUACACACCUGUCUUCAUAGGAGGGACAGGAGACGGUCAGUGAAAUUAGGAUAAGAUGAAUAAAUGAUCACAUAUUUUACAUUAAGUGGAUUUAAUAUUUUUAUAGCCAAAUAAUUGUAUUUUGUUUGGCUAACUGGUUUCUUCUGACUACAGAUCAGUUUAAUAAUCAGACCUACAUCAUAAUCGGUGCAGUGGUCGGGGUGGUGGUAGUGCUGGUUAUCAUCGCUGCUGUUCUCAUCAAAUACAGGAAGAGAGCCAAAGUGACAGUGGGUCAGUAAAACAGAGAAAAUACAGUAUUGGUUCAAAUAUAAUGUGAUACACAUUAUAUAAAACAUAAGUUAAAUAGUAAAUGAGAUAUGCUAUGAUAUAUUAAAUUUUUAUUUUUUUUUAAUUUUUUUUUUUUUUUUAAAUUUAUUUUUUUUUUUUUUUUUUUUUUUUUUUUUUUUUUUUUUUUUUUUUUAAAAACCAAAUUUUAAAUUUAAAAAUUUUUUUUUUUUUUUUAAAUAAAAAAAAAAAAAAUUUUAAAUUUUUUAUAUUUUUUUUUUUUUUUUUUUUUUUUUUUUUUUUUUUUUUUUUUUUUUUUUUUUUUUUUUUUUUUUUUUUUUUUUUUUUUUUUUUUUUUUUUUUUUUUUUUUUUUUUUUUUUUUUUUUUUUUUUUUUAUUUGAAAUUAAUAUAUUUUAAUAUAAAUAUUUCUAUAUAUUACUGAGUAUAUGAGAAAAUUAAAAAAAAUAAGGGGCAAGAAAUUAUUAAAAAAAAUUUAUUGGUGAAUUUUUGUUGUGGUUUGGGUUUUGGUAAAAUUUUUUUUUUGUUUUUGUU